CCUACGGGAGGCAGCAGUAAGGAAUAUUGGUCAAUGGACGCAAGUCUGAACCAGCCGUGCCGCGUGAAGGAUUAAGGCCCUCUGGGUUGUAAACUUCUUUUAUAGGGGACGAAAAAAGGGCAUUCUUGCUCACUUGACGGUACCCUAGGAAUAAGCACCGGCUAACUCCGUGCCAGCAGCCGCGGUAAUACGGAGGGUGCAAGCGUUAUCCGGAUUUACUGGGUUUAAAGGGUGCGUAGGUGGGUUGGUAAGUCAGUGGUGAAAUCUUCGAGCUUAACUCGGAAACUGCCAUUGAUACUAUCAAUCUUGAAUCAUCUAGAGGUAAGCGGAAUAUGUCAUGUAGCGGUGAAAUGCUUAGAUAUGACAUAGAACACCAAUUGCGAAGGCAGCUUACUAUGGAUGUAUUGACACUGAGGCACGAAAGCGUGGGGAUCAAACAGGAUUAGAUACCCUGGUAGUCCACGCCCUAAACGAUGGAUACUCGACAUUUGUGAUAUACUAUAAGUGUCUGAGNGAAGACAUAAGUAUCCACCGUCGGAGUACGACCGACGAGUAGUAACGUAAGUAGAGUAGACGCGUGAGAGAGACGACGGACGACGACGAGGGAGGAGG
rnacentral:rRNA from 1 species